GAUGAACGCUGGCGGCGUGCCUAAUACAUGCAAGUCGAGCGAACAGAUGAUGAGCUUGCUCCUCUGACGUUAGCGGCGGACGGGUGAGUAACACGUGGAUAACCUACCUAUAAGACUGGGAUAACUUCGGGAAACCGGAGCUAAUACCGGAUAAUAUAUUGAACCGCAUGGUUCAAUAGUUAAAGACGGUUUUGCUGUCACUUUUAGAUGGAUCCGCGCCGCAUUAGCUAGUUGGUAAGGUAACGGCUUACCAAGGCGACGAUGCGUAGCCGACCUGAGAGGGUGAUCGGCCACACUGGAACUGAGACACGGUCCAGACUCCUACGGGAGGCAGCAGUAGGGAAUCUUCCGCAAUGGGCGAAAGCCUGACGGAGCAACGCCGCGUGAGUGAUGAAGGUCUUCGGAUCGUAAAACUCUGUUAUUAGGGAAGAAAAAAUGUGUAAGUAACUAUGCACGUCUUGACGGUACCUAAUCAGAAAGCCACGGCUAACUACGUG
rnacentral:rRNA from 1 species